rnacentral:rRNA from 1 species
GACGGAGGAUGCAAGUGUUAUCCGGAAUCACUGGGCGUAAAGCGUCUGUAGGUGGUUUAAAAAGUCUACUGUUAAAAAUUGAAGCUUAACUUCAAAGAUGCCGUAGAAACUUUUAAACUUGAGGAUGGUAGGGGUAGAGGGAAUUUCCGGUGGAGCGGUGAAAUGCGUAGAGAUCGGAAAGAACACCAACGGCGAAAGCACUCUGCUGGGCCGACACUGACACUGAGAGACGAAAGCUAGGGGAGCGAAUGGG